rnacentral:rRNA from 1 species
AUUGAACGCUGGCGGCAUGCCUUACACAUGCAAGUCGAACGGUAACAGGUCUUCGGAUGCUGACGAGUGGCGAACGGGUGAGUAAUAUAUCGGAACGUGCCCAGUCGUGGGGGAUAACGCAGCGAAAGCUGUGCUAAUACCGCAUACGAUCUAUGGAUGAAAGCGGGGGAUCGCAAGACCUCGCGCGAUUGGAGCGGCCGAUAUCAGAUUAGGUAGUUGGUGGGGUAAAGGCCCACCAAGCCAACGAUCUGUAGCUGGUCUGAGAGGACGACCAGCCACACUGGAACUGAGACACGGUCCAGACUCCUACGGGAGGCAGCAGUGGGGAAUUUUGGACAAUGGGCGCAAGCCUGAUCCAGCAAUGCCGCGUGCAGGAUGAAGGCCUUCGGGUUGUAAACUGCUUUUGUACGGAACGAAAAGGCUCUGGUUAAUACCUGGGGCUCGUGACGGUACCGUAAGAAUAAGCACCGGCUAACUACGUG